CCGGGGGGGGGGGGGGGUGCAGAUACACAAUCCCUACCCUAUCUCGCGAUCGGGAAAGGAGAGGGCUCAUAAGGACGCCCCAAUUCGGGAGCGCCCUGGAGCCUGGAGAGCCAUACAGUCAGUUCGCGCGAAGUGGGCACCAGUCUUCCAAGUAGAGUUUCGGGUACUCCGGACCAUACUGCGCUCCCGCAAGAGUCUCUCUAGCCACUUUGGUCCUCCCCCGCUGUUUAAAAUCUAAAUCUUUGGUGUGCGGGUGAAUGUUUCUGUUUUCCUCCUGACGACUUUAUUUCUCUUGAUAUAACUUCUCCUUGUUCGCCCUUUCUUCACCUUUUCUCCCGCUUAUUUUUCCUCUUUUGUGGCCUCGCUCGAUCUCUCUCUCUCUCACACACACACACACACACACGCUGACACCCCCCUGCACCUCGCUCUCUCUUUCUCCCCAGGUCUUGUUGGUUACAGUAGAUUUUGAUAAAAAGACAAACGAAGCUAUCAGUGGGGCUGAUGUUGAAGAAUGAAGAUAAUAAUGUUUCCAUAGGUGGUGCUUCAAAUGCCAUUAUUUCUCACUGAAUAUUUAAAGAGAUCUCUCGGCAAAGAUGGAUCUGCGUGCUCCUGGGGUGCCAGCCUCUCGCUUCCCCCAGACCCCCAGGAAAGUGUGCGGGAGCACGUGUAAAACCCAUCCCCCGCUCCGCAAACUGUGAUCCUCGCAGGCAUCCCAACCCACACUCUUCCAGGGCCAUCCGCAUGCAGGCAUUUAGAAACUGACUUCUUCGCUGGCGACCGCAAGUGCCUGUGAUUUUUACUUUCCGUCUACAUUGAACGUCUUGUACUGAAAUUCACUGAGCCCUGCAUGCCACAGUGCCUCGCUAAGGGGUCUCUGGGUACAAAAUGCCUCUCCAAGGAAAUGUUUCGAGAUGCGUGGAGAGGUUUGGAAGCUCUAGGAGAAGAAAGAUGUUGGGAACAAAUAACUGCCUGCACCUUCUCUCCUGCCCAGAGGAAAGAGCCAGGAAAUAGGAAGAUUUCCAAGCCAAAGUCUGCAACUCAUCCAUGGGGCUGCAGGAUCAUGCAUAUUGCCGACUGAACUCAGGACCACUGAAGUCUCCCAUGACCCACAAAUGCCUUGAACUAAACAUACUGCAGGGAUGCUGACAUCUAUAAACUUAUGAGUCCGAUGAGGUCUCCACUGAUAUUAAACCUCUUGAAGCCUUCUUUUGCUGUUUGUGUUUUUUAUUGUAAAAUGGGCAAAAUGAUAGUGUCUACCUGUCUUAGUCCUAGUCCAUU
rnacentral:lncRNA from 1 species